CCCUCUUAUUAUACGAUCAUUGCGAAACAAGACUUUGAUUGUUGAUCGUGAAGUCUAUAGGGAAAUAAAAGCGUUUAGAUAGAUAUAUAAACGCAUGUGCUUAUUGGUGAUGUGACUCCUACACAUAAACAUUAAGACAAUAAAGAUGUACAUAAUUAUUAUUGGGGUGAUGUAUUUAUUGGUAAAACAUGUUCAGCAUUUCUUGUGUUGUGAUUGUGUGGUCCUCAACAUUUCCCACAUAAUCCGUACAUCCUCGUAUCCACAUGUUUGGAUGUCGUCGUGGAGUUUCACAAGGCCUCCACCUGCACAAAAUUU
rnacentral:lncRNA from 1 species